ensembl:lincRNA
AGGCGGCCAAGAGGAUGGCCGCCUGCCGCCCACACUUGGUAGCUGCCAACAAAGUUAGAAAAGUAGUUCGUGGAGCUUUUCGCGAGGACAAUUCAUUAUGAUUCUGUCACCCUGCUCCAAAACCCACUCCCGCCUCUCUACUCACACCCUGCCCAUUCUUGAAGUGGUGGUUCAAGCACAGACUGAGAGGAUUAUUGCGGAUGUCUUGAGCAUGGGACCAUUCUUUUUGCAUCCACCAAAUAACUAUUGUACUACUUCGCAUAUAUAAAUAUGAAAUCCAUACUGGUUCAGUGGAAUGAAGUGAGUUUCCUGUGUUUCUGUUAGGACAUCUUCUAUUACAAAAUCUAUGAGGAAAUCUAGAGGCCUCCAAGGACCUGGCUGGGCUUCAACUCUGGCUGAGUUUGAGAUGAGUAAACCAGACUGAAGGACCUUGCCCAAGGCCUGCUUCAGCUGCCAGCCACCCACACUUGCUAAGAGAAAGGAAAGUAGCUUUGUCACCUCCUGAGGGACUGCCUCUGCCAUCAGAAAACCACCCCAAUCCCUGGCACCAGCAGAGCUGGGUUGCAUCUGACUACCGUUAGCAGCUGUCCUUCAGAAGGAGGAGAUCCACCUGUCUCGAUAUCAGUGUCCUCAUUUGUGGAAUAAAAGCUCUGGAAUAAGGUAGGUGUCCUAUGGUUGGGUCAUUUGUGGAGGUGUUGGUCAGUGGCCAAGUAGGUUAUUGCACAGGGUAUGGUUGUAUUCCUAAUGUUUGUAUUGGCAUGUUUUAACAUAAGCAGAACUGAACUUCAAGAAGGAAAGAAAGAAAUCUCAAACUGUGUGCACUUUGGAGCAUCCAGGGACCACACCCCAAAACCUUUUGGUAAAUUAUAUAUGUGUGUUCCCUGAGCUCUGUAGGUGUUAAAAAUUAGGGCAAAAUCCCAGGUACCAGGAAAAGAAACAUCACGGCUUGCAGAUGAUGAGAGAGUUGCAGAAAUUGUACAGUGGUUAGGAGUUAUGGUGGGAUACAAUGUGGUUUCCAAAUGGCCAAAGUAAGAGAUCCUCAUUUUAAUCAACAUCUUAUAUAGGAACCCAACAUAUAAAACACAUAUACAACAUAUGCAAAGGGUAUUUUAUUAAUUUCUUGUAUAAGUCCAAAUUAGUAUAAAAUUAGGCAUUGAUGCUCUCAUGAUGAACCCAAAUCUGCUCAAUGGGGCUCACUAUUAGCCUCAGGAUUCCAGUUUACUUUUGUAUGUUGUUUUCAUUGUACCGUGUCAAGCAAAUUCUUGUUUGUAUAACUAAGCAGUAAUUUGUUACCCAUACAACUUUACAUUCAGCAUUUCUAGGCCAAUGUGCAGUUACAACAUUAUUAAUCAAUGACACACUUGAGCAAAGUUCAGGUAUAUGCACAGCCGGCAGGAGAGACUGAAUACUCUGGUCUGCGUUCAGUCAAGGUAACCUAGAGCAGAUUAGCUCAUUAUGAAUGUUCUUUGUGAUAAAAUUUGAAUAGAAACACAUUUGGAGAUGCAUGUUUUUGUUACAGUUUAAAAUAUACAAAAAAUAAAUAAAAGUUUAUAUCCCCAAUCAUGAGACACACAGACACCAUGAGCCUCCUGAUAUGGUCUCCUGAAAAAGACACAUAUCAUUUACCUGCUAAAAAUACGUAAAUGGAAUCUAAUCAUGAAGAAGCAUCAAACAAACUCACAUUAAGGGGCAUCCUACAAAACAAUUGACCUGUAUUCUUCAAAAAUAUCAAUGGUGUGAAAGACAAAGAGGCUGAGGCACAUCACUAUUAAAGGCAAUGGGUGAUUCUGGACUGGAUCUCCAACCAGAAAAAUGUAAAGGACAUUAUUGGGAUAAUUGGUGAAAUUCAAAUAUAGAUGCUAUGUUAGAUAGUAGGAUAGUAUCAAUGCUAGUUUUUCUGAACUUGAUCAUUUUACUGGGAUUCUGCAAGAUAAUGUCCUUGUUUCUAGCAGGUAUCUGCUAAAGUAUUUAGGAGUAAAAUGAUGUCUCGAACUGUUUGGCAAGAAUAAUAAAAAUAAUAAUAAGGAGAUGAGGAGGUGGAAGGAGGGUUUGGAUAUAUAUUGGUAGACAUAUAAAUGAUUAAAGCAAAUGAUGCAAAAUACUAACAAGUGGUAAAGUCAUUAAAAAUAUAUGGGACUUUUGAGGGAAUUUUCUUUUGUACUAUCCUCACAACUUUUCUGUAACUUUGCAAUUAGUUUGAAAUUUAUUCAUUUAUUUUGAGACGGAGUCUUGCUCUGUCGCCCAGGCUGAAGUGCAGUGACACGAUCUCGGCUCACUGCAACCUCCGCCUCCCGGGUUCAAGCGAGUCUCCUGCCUCAGCCUCCUGAGUAGCUGGGACUACAGGUGCAUGCCACCAUGCCCAGCUAAUUUUUGUGUUUUUAGUAGAAACGGGGUUUCACCAUGUUGGUCAGGCUGGUCUCAAGCUCCUGACCUCGUGAUCUGCCCACCUCAGCCUCCCAAAGUGCUGGGAUUACAGGUGUGAGCCACCACACUCAGCCUGAAAUUUAAACUUAAAAAUUAAAUAGCAAUCUAAAACUGUGCUAAAUAAAAAUUUUUAAUUUAAAAAUAUUAAAUAACACUUAGAAAUCAAAGUCACAUCAGAAUUUUGCAAACCUUCCAGAACUGAAGAACCAGCAGAUAUUUUUGAAAACCCUGGUCCAGGGUACCUCUUAGCUCUAUUUGGCAUAGAUGUGCUAGGAGAUUAUAAACACUGAACAGGUGAUUCUAAAAACAAAAAUAAUUAGAUGUCAAAUAUACCUAUAUGCCCCUGAGAAGGUGCAUCCUGUUCUCUGCCUGAAGUUCUCCCCGCCACCCCACCCCUCACUCCUAUGACCUAGCUAACUUCCGCUCAUCCCUCCGCUCUCAGUCUCAACAUCACUUCCUCCAAGAAGGCUUCCGUAAUCUCCUAAAUCAGAAUUGGCUGUUCCUCCUCUGUGCCUCCUGUAGCAUCCUGGAAGUGCUGCCCCCAUUACAGUACUAAAUGCCCUUGAGCCUACUGUCUAUCUCUCUCACUCGUUUGUAAGGGCCAUGAGGGCUGGAAGCUGUCUUUUCUGGUUUUUGAUGUAAAUGUAAUUCUGGCACCUCCUAGCAUAGUGCUAAGAGAUGAAG